UACGGAGGGUGCAAGCGUUAUUCGGAAUUAUUGGGCGUAAAGGGCGCGUAGGCGGUCUCUAAAGUCAGAUGUGAAAGCCCGGGGCUUAACCCCGGAAGUGCAUUUGAAACUCAGGGACUUGAGUAUGGGAGAGGGAAGUGGAAUUCCUGGUGUAGCGGUGAAAUGCGUAGAUAUCAGGAGGAACACCAGUGGCGAAGGCGACUUCCUGGACCAAUACUGACGCUGAGGCGCGAAGGCGUGGGGAGCAAACUGG
rnacentral:rRNA from 1 species